rnacentral:rRNA from 1 species
UACGGGGGGGGCAAGCGUUGUUCGGAUUUACUGGGCGUAAAGGGCGCGUAGGCGGCGUGGUAAGUCACUUGUGAAAUCUCCGGGCUUAACUCGGAACGGUCAAGUGAUACUGCUGUGCUAGAGUGCGGAAGGGGCAACUGGAAUUCUUGGUGUAGCGGUGAAAUGCGUAGAUAUCAAGAGGAACACCUGCGGCGAAGGCGGGUUGCUGGGCCGACACUGACGCUGAGGCGCGAAAGCUAGGGGAGCGAACGGG